rnacentral:rRNA from 1 species
UACAGAGGUCCCAAGCGUUGUUCGGAUUCACUGGGCGUAAAGGGUGCGUAGGCGGUUGGGUAAGUCUGUCGUGAAAUCUCCGAGCCCAACUCGGAAACUGCGUCGGAUACUAUUCAACUCGAGGAAUGGAGGGGAGACUGGAAUUCCCGGUGUAGCAGUGAAAUGCGUAGAUAUCGAGAGGAACACCAGUGGCGAAGGCGAGUCUCUGGACAUUUCCUGACGCUGAGGCACGAAAGCCAGGGGAGCAAACGGG